rnacentral:rRNA from 1 species
AUUGAACGCUGGCGGCAGGCCUAACACAUGCAAGUCGAGCGGAGCGGCGGACGGGUGAGUAAUGCCUAGGAAUCUGCCUGGUAGUGGGGGAUAACGUCCGGAACCGGGCGCUAAUACCGCAUACUAUCAGAUGAGCCUAGGUCGGAUUAGCUAGUUGGUGGGGUAAAGGCCUACCAAGGCGACGAUCCGUAACUGGUCUGAGAGGAUGAUCAGUCACACUGGAACUGAGACACGGUCCAGACUCCUACGGGAGGCAGCAGUGGGGAAUAUUGGACAAUGGGCGAAAGCCUGAUGCAGCCAUGCCGCGUGUAUGAAGAAGGCCUUCGGGUUGUAAAGUACUUUCAGCUGGGAGGCGUUACCAGCAGAAGAAGCACCGGCUAACUCCGUGCCAGCAGCCGCGGUAAUAC